rnacentral:rRNA from 1 species
UCCGUAGGCGGGUAAUUAAGUCAGAGGUAAAAUCCCACAGCUUAACUGUGGAACUGCCUUAGAUACUGGUUAUCUUGAGUUUUAGUGAAGUAGAUAGAAUGUGUAGUGUAGCGGUGAAAUGCAUAGAUAUUACACAGAAUACCGAUUGCGAAGGCAGUCUACUAACUAACAACUGACGCUAAUGGACGAAAGCGUGGGGAGCGAACAGGAUUAGAUACCCUGGUAGUCC